rnacentral:rRNA from 1 species
AUUGAACGCUGGCGGCAGGCCUAACACAUGCAAGUCGAGCGGAUGAAGGGAGCUUGCUCCUGGAUUCAGCGGCGGACGGGUGAGUAAUGCCUAGGAAUCUGCCUGGUAGUGGGGGAUAACGUCCGGAAACGGGCGCUAAUACCGCAUACGUCCUGAGGGAGAAAGUGGGGGAUCUUCGGACCUCACGCUAUCAGACGAGCCUAGGUCGGAUUAGCUAGUUGGUGGGGUAAAGGCCUACCAAGGCGACGAUCCGUAACUGGUCUGAGAGGAUGAUCAGUCACACUGGAACUGAGACACGGUCCAGUCUCCUACGGGAGGCAGCAGUGGGGAAUAUUGGACAAUGGGCGAAAGCCUGAUCCAGCCAUGCCGCGUGUGUGAAGAAGGUCUUCGGAUUGUAAAGCACUUUAAGUUGGGAGGAAGGGCAGUAAGUUAAUACCUUGCUGUUUUGACGUUACCAACAGAAUAAGCACCGGCUAACUUCGUG